rnacentral:rRNA from 1 species
AUUGAACGCUGGCGGCAGGCCUAACACAUGCAAGUCGAGCGAGCGGCGGACGGGAGAGUAAUGUAUGGGGACUGCCCGAUAGAGGGGGAUAAAUAGUGGAAACGGUGGCUAAUAACGCAUACUAUCGGAUAACCCAUAUGGGAUUAGCUAGUAGGGGGGGUAAAGGCUCACCUAGGCGACGAGCUCUAGCUGGUCUGAGAGGAUGAUCAGCCACACUGCGCCUGAGCCACGGCCCAGACUCCUACGGAGGCAGCAGUGGGGAAUAUUGCACAGUGGCCGCAAGCCUGAUGCAGCCAUGCCGCGUGUAUGAAGAAGGCCUUAGGGUUGUAAAGUACUUUCAGCGGGGAGGCGUUACCAGCAGAAGAAACACCGGCUAACUCCGCGCCAGCCGCCGCGGUAAUUC